rnacentral:lncRNA from 1 species
GCCCCGCCCUCCGCCCUCGCACCCCCACCCCCUCCCCAGCCACUUCCGGCAGGCGCUGCGCUGCUGGGGGGUGCGGGUGAGGAUGGCGGCGGAGAGCGAAGCCAGCCAGGAAAGCGCCCUGGGCGCCUACUCGCCGGUGGACUACAUGAGCAUCACCAGCUUCCCGCGACUUCCCGAGGACGAGCCGGCGCCUGCAGCCCCGCUGAGGAGCCAUAAGGAUGAGGACGCCUUCCUGGGAGAUCCUGAUACCGACAGCAGCCAGAAGAAUUUAUUUUUCCUGGUGCUGGUGAGCAAAACCAGGGCUUCACACAUGCUCAGCAAACACUGUACUACUGAGCUACAGCCCCAGCCUCCAGAGGGGUCUUUUAAAAACACAAAACAGAUGACUUCGUGUUGGUGCUUAAAACUCUCCAGUGGCAUCCAUAAUUUAAGACCCAGACUCCUUCCUGAAGUCCGCUCGGCUGCAGCGGCUGCCGUCGUCGUCCUCGGAAAUGGGCAGCCAGGAUGGGUCGCCGCUCCGCGAGACGCGCAAAGACCCCUUCUCGGCGGCCGCUGCCGAGUGCUCCUGCCGGCAGGACGGGCUCACAGUCAUCGUCACCGCCUGCCUCACCUUUGCCACAGGUGUCACCGUGGCACUUGUCAUGCAGAUCUACUUUGGGGAUGCCCAGGUGAGGGGGAAUGGCGGGCAGAGGAAAGAAAAAUUAAGGAAGGGACCGUGGGAACUGGAGAAUAGCUGAGUGCGGGAAAAGGGUCAGGAAAUAGGAACAUGUGAGGGUGGUGACUUAGAAGAAGAUCCCAAAGAAAGGACUCUGGGGCAUUCGGGGAACAGAAGAUGGGACUUCAUCCAAGUAGGAAGCAGCGGUGAUAAUGAGGCGAUGGUCUUAGGGGAGAAUCAAGAGGACAAGGAGGUACCUUAGUGAGGCAGAGCCUCCUGCUGUCUCUACCUAGGCCCCUCUCCCCUUUAGAUCUUUCAGCAGGGUGCUGUGGUGACCGAUGCCGCCCGCUGCACUUCUCUGACAUCACAUCAUUUAGAAAGGAGAUGGAACCUAGGAAUGGCUGGAUGAAACAAGUCACCCAAGUACCUGUG